GGGUUGUGAGGUUAAGCGACUAAGCGUACACGGUGGAUGCCCUGGCAGUCAGAGGCGAUGAAGGACGUGCUAAUCUGCGAUAAGCGUCGGUAAGGUGAUAUGAACCGUUAUAACCGGCGAUUUCCGAAUGGGGAAACCCAGUGUGAUUCGUCACACUAUCAUUAACUGAAUCCAUAGGUUAAUGAGGCGAACCGGGGGAACUGAAACAUCUAAGUACCCCGAGGAAAAGAAAUCAACCGAGAUUCCCCCAGUAGCGGCGAGCGAACGGGGAGCAGCCCAGAGCCUGAAUCAGUGUGUGUGUUAGUGGAAGCGUCUGGAAAGGCGCGCGAUACAGGGUGACAGCCCCGUACACAAAAAUGCACAUAUUGUGAGCUCGAUGAGUAGGGCGGGACACGUGGUAUCCUGUCUGAAUAUGGGGGGACCAUCCUCCAAGGCUAAAUACUCCUGACUGACCGAUAGUGAACCAGUACCGUGAGGGAAAGGCGAAAAGAACCCCGGCGAGGGGAGUGAAAAAGAACCUGAAACCGUGUACGUACAAGCAGUGGGAGCCUCUUUAUGGGGUGACUGCGUACCUUUUGUAUAAUGGGUCAGCGACUUAUAUUCUGUAGCAAGGUUAACCGAAUAGGGGAGCCGAAGGGAAACCGAGUCUUAACUGGGCGUUAAGUUGCAGGGUAUAGACCCGAAACCCGGUGAUCUAGCCAUGGGCAGGUUGAAGGUUGGGUAACACUAACUGGAGGACCGAACCGACUAAUGUUGAAAAAUUAGCGGAUGACUUGUGGCUGGGGGUGAAAGGCCAAUCAAACCGGGAGAUAGCUGGUUCUCCCCGAAAGCUAUUUAGGUAGCGCCUCGUGAACUCAUCUCCGGGGGUAGAGCACUGUUUCGGCAAGGGGGUCAUCCCGACUUACCAACCCGAUGCAAACUGCGAAUACCGGAGAAUGUUAUCACGGGAGACACACGGCGGGUGCUAACGUCCGUCGUGAAGAGGGAAACAACCCAGACCGCCAGCUAAGGUCCCAAAGUCAUGGUUAAGUGGGAAACGAUGUGGGAAGGCCCAGACAGCCAGGAUGUUGGCUUAGAAGCAGCCAUCAUUUAAAGAAAGCGUAAUAGCUCACUGGUCGAGUCGGCCUGCGCGGAAGAUGUAACGGGGCUAAACCAUGCACCGAAGCUGCGGCAGCGACACUAUGUGUUGUUGGGUAGGGGAGCGUUCUGUAAGCCUGUGAAGGUGUACUGUGAGGUAUGCUGGAGGUAUCAGAAGUGCGAAUGCUGACAUAAGUAACGAUAAAGCGGGUGAAAAGCCCGCUCGCCGGAAGACCAAGGGUUCCUGUCCAACGUUAAUCGGGGCAGGGUGAGUCGACCCCUAAGGCGAGGCCGAAAGGCGUAGUCGAUGGGAAACAGGUUAAUAUUCCUGUACUUGGUGUUACUGCGAAGGGGGGACGGAGAAGGCUAUGUUGGCCGGGCGACGGUUGUCCCGGUUUAAGCGUGUAGGCUGGUUUUCCAGGCAAAUCCGGAAAACUAAGGCUGAGGCGUGAUGACGAGGCACUACGGUGCUGAAGCAACAAAUGCCCUGCUUCCAGGAAAAGCCUCUAAGCAUCAGGUAACAUCAAAUCGUACCCCAAACCGACACAGGUGGUCAGGUAGAGAAUACCAAGGCGCUUGAGAGAACUCGGGUGAAGGAACUAGGCAAAAUGGUGCCGUAACUUCGGGAGAAGGCACGCUGAUACGUAGGUGAAGUCCCUUGCGGAUGGAGCUGAAAUCAGUCGAAGAUACCAGCUGGCUGCAACUGUUUAUUAAAAACACAGCACUGUGCAAACACGAAAGUGGACGUAUACGGUGUGACGCCUGCCCGGUGCCGGAAGGUUAAUUGAUGGGGUUAGCGCAAGCGAAGCUCUUGAUCGAAGCCCCGGUAAACGGCGGCCGUAACUAUAACGGUCCUAAGGUAGCGAAAUUCCUUGUCGGGUAAGUUCCGACCUGCACGAAUGGCGUAAUGAUGGCCAGGCUGUCUCCACCCGAGACUCAGUGAAAUUGAACUCGCUGUGAAGAUGCAGUGUACCCGCGGCAAGACGGAAAGACCCCGUGAACCUUUACUAUAGCUUGACACUGAACAUUGAGCCUUGAUGUGUAGGAUAGGUGGGAGGCUUUGAAGUGUGGACGCCAGUCUGCAUGGAGCCGACCUUGAAAUACCACCCUUUAAUGUUUGAUGUUCUAACGUGGACCCGUGAUCCGGGUUGCGGACAGUGUCUGGUGGGUAGUUUGACUGGGGCGGUCUCCUCCUAAAGAGUAACGGAGGAGCACGAAGGUUGGCUAAUCCUGGUCGGACAUCAGGAGGUUAGUGCAAUGGCAUAAGCCAGCUUGACUGCGAGCGUGACGGCGCGAGCAGGUGCGAAAGCAGGUCAUAGUGAUCCGGUGGUUCUGAAUGGAAGGGCCAUCGCUCAACGGAUAAAAGGUACUCCGGGGAUAACAGGCUGAUACCGCCCAAGAGUUCAUAUCGACGGCGGUGUUUGGCACCUCGAUGUCGGCUCAUCACAUCCUGGGGCUGAAGUAGGUCCCAAGGGUAUGGCUGUUCGCCAUUUAAAGUGGUACGCGAGCUGGGUUUAGAACGUCGUGAGACAGUUCGGUCCCUAUCUGCCGUGGGCGCUGGAGAACUGAGGGGGGCUGCUCCUAGUACGAGAGGACCGGAGUGGACGCAUCACUGGUGUUCGGGUUGUCAUGCCAAUGGCACUGCCCGGUAGCUAAAUGCGGAAGAGAUAAGUGCUGAAAGCAUCUAAGCACGAAACUUGCCCCGAGAUGAGUUCUCCCUGAGACUUUAAGUCUCCUGAAGGAACGUUGAAGACGACGACGUUGAUAGGCCGGGUGUGUAAGCGCAGCGAUGCGUUGAGCUAACCGGUACUAAUGAACCGUGAGGCUUAACCUUACAACGCCGAAG
rnacentral:rRNA from 1 species